rnacentral:misc_RNA from 1 species
CCCUUCUCUUCUUCGAUUCUAGUAGAAAUUUUCUAUACUUUUCUCUCGGUGGAGUAACAUGGCGGAUGCUUACUGGAGAUACACCAGCGGUGGGCAGCAGCAGGCGGCUCCGGCGGCGUCGGCGGCUCUUGCUCCAUUCGUGGCGAAACGUCCUCGCAGCGAAUACGAUGCUCCAAGUGGUCCUGAAUAUCCUGGUUAUUAUGGCCGUGAUGCUGAAAGGGGAAUGCCUCGAGUCGGGAGAGACGCAGAUCCUAUUGAAGCAUCCUAUGAGCGCUACCUCCGUAGUGGGCAAAUUUCCUCCCAUGUUGCCAGUGAGUCUGCAAGAUCCUUACAUAGUGGAAUUAGUGGCCAUCCCCCUAUCGAUGAUCCACGUGUUAUGGGCAUUGGGGGAUCCGACCCGCUAGCUUUUAAAAGCAGGAAUGUUGGAAUGGUAGCUGGCAGACCAGAAGCUACCCUUCCUCCGGAUGCUAGCAGUACAUUGUUUGUAGAGGGUUUGCCUGCGGAUUGUACAAGAAGAGAGGUGUCACAUUUAUUCCGCCCUUUUUUAGGUUACAAAGAAGUUAGGCUGGUACCAAAAGGAUCAAGACAUGCUGGAGGCGAUCCUUUGAUUCUUUGCUUUGUUGAUUUCGUUAGUCCCCUUCAUGCAGCUACUGCAAUGGAUGCAUUACAAGGUUAUAAAUUCGAUGAGCAUGAGCGUGAUUCAGUUAGCUUAAAGCUGCAAUUUUCUCGCAAUCCUGGUGCUAGGUCAGGUGGAGGGCAUCGUGGAAAACGUUGAAACUAUGCGUAUUUACAGGACUUGCCCAAGUUCGGAGAUAUAUAAUACUUAGCGACGUUAUGCCGGCUUUGCAGUUUCUUGUGCGACGUGUUUUUCUGAUCGGGCGCUUUCGUUAGGACCACCUCGAAAAUGCUGGGUUUUAUUUUAUUUUAGGGGGAGGAAGUGGUAGUUGCUAAGAAUGCGUUUAGCUUUCGUUUCAACCUCAACUUUACUGGACCCCAUGUGUUAAAUUUUAUAUCUGGAUGGACGAGAGAUGGUUUACCUUGAAUCUUGCGCAUAGUAUAUUAACACGUACCUGUAAU